rnacentral:rRNA from 1 species
GUCGAGCGGUAGCACAGAGAGCUUGCUCUCGGGUGACGAGCGGCGGACGGGUGAGUAAUGUCUGGGAAACUGCCUGAUGGAGGGGGAUAACUACUGGAAACGGUAGCUAAUACCGCAUAACGUCGCAAGACCAAAGUGGGGGACCUUCGGGCCUCAUGCCAUCAGAUGUGCCCAGAUGGGAUUAGCUAGUAGGUGGGGUAAUGGCUCACCUAGGCGACGAUCCCUAGCUGGUCUGAGAGGAUGACCAGCCACACUGGAACUGAGACACGGUCCAGACUCCUACGGGAGGCAGCAGUGGGGAAUAUUGCACAAUGGGCGCAAGCCUGAUGCAGCCAUGCCGCGUGUAUGAAGAAGGCCUUCGGGUUGUAAAGUACUUUCAGCGAGGAGGAAGGCAUUAAGGUUAAUAACCUUGGUGAUUGACGUUACUCGCAGAAGAAGCACCGGCUAACUCCGUGCCAGCAGCCGCGGUAAUACGGAGGGUGCAAGCGUUAAUCGGAAUUACUGGGCGUAAAGCGCACGCAGGCGGUCUGUCAAGUCGGAUGUGAAAUCCCCGGGCUCAACCUGGGAACUGCAUUCGAAACUGGCAGGCUAGAGUCUUGUAGAGGGGGGUAGAAUUCCAGGUGUAGCGGUGAAAUGCGUAGAGAUCUGGAGGAAUACCGGUGGCGAAGGCGGCCCCCUGGACAAAGACUGACGCUCAGGUGCGAAAGCGUGGGGAGCAAACAGGAUUAGAUACCCUGGUAGUCCACGCCGUAAACGAUGUCGACUUGGAGGUUGUGCCCUUGAGGCGUGGCUUCCGGAGCUAACGCGUUAAGUCGACCGCCUGGGGAGUACGGCCGCAAGGUUAAAACUCAAAUGAAUUGACGGGGGCCCGCACAAGCGGUGGAGCAUGUGGUUUAAUUCGAUGCAACGCGAAGAACCUUACCUACUCUUGACAUCCAGAGAACUUAGCAGAGAUGCUUUGGUGCCUUCGGGAACUCUGAGACAGGUGCUGCAUGGCUGUCGUCAGCUCGUGUUGUGAAAUGUUGGGUUAAGUCCCGCAACGAGCGCAACCCUUAUCCUUUGUUGCCAGCGGUUCGGCCGGGAACUCAAAGGAGACUGCCAGUGAUAAACUGGAGGAAGGUGGGGAUGACGUCAAGUCAUCAUGGCCCUUACGAGUAGGGCUACACACGUGCUACAAUGGCAUAUACAAAGAGAAGCGACCUCGCGAGAGCAAGCGGACCUCAUAAAGUAUGUCGUAGUCCGGAUUGGAGUCUGCAACUCGACUCCAUGAAGUCGGAAUCGCUAGUAAUCGUAGAUCAGAAUGCUACGGUGAAUACGUUCCCGGGCCUUGUACACACCGCCCGUCACACCAUGGGAGUGGGUUGCAAAAGAAGUAGGUAGCUUA